rnacentral:rRNA from 1 species
UACGUAGGGGGCAAGCGUUGUCCGGAAUCAUUGGGCGUAAAGAGCGUGUAGGCGGCCCGUUAAGUCCGCUGUGAAAGUCCAGGGCUCAACCCUGGGAUGCCGGUGGAUACUGUCUGGCUCGAGUCCGGAAGAGGAGUGUGGAAUUCCUGGUGUAGCGGUGAAAUGCGCAGAUAUCAGGAGGAACACCAAUGGCGAAGGCAGCUCGCUGGGACGGUACUGACGCUGAGACGCGAAAGCGUGGGGAGCAAACAGG